rnacentral:tRNA from 1 species
GUCGGGAUAGCUCCGUUGGUA